GGGCAGUUGGGUGAUGUCCAGUUUUCCACAAUAAAAACCGCACUGCCGUGACCAUACACGUGUGUGCCUUGCAUAUGCCUGGGGAGGAGUGGCCGGGUGUGUGAGCAUCUUGGGGCUCCCUGCUGUAUCUGAAAGGGGCCUGGAACAUAACAGGCGAGAGUAAAUGCAGAACAGAUGGAUUCGUGGAUGAGGUGGAGGAAGGAUGAGCCACGUCCAUCCAGGUGCAGGCUUUUUCUACUCUGUGUUUUGAGACUCAUCCGUCCCUGGGAGGAUCCCGCUCCUUUGCUCAGUGUCAGUGUCCUGGCAGCUGGUAGAGGCAAGCAAGAGAAGAAAAAGGCCCCAUGUCUACCCUCCCAGAAAGAACUUCAGGUAACGAGGUAAGUUCAGACGAGCACGGAGGCACACCGAGGUGGGUUUUGGGAGACAAGUCUUUCUAGUGCGGUCUCUUCCAAGCCAAGACUUAAGGGACCAUCAACCACAGGAAGAUCUGGGGAAAGGGAGCAUCAGGCAGAGAAAAUGGCAUGUGCAAAGGCCAGGAGGUAAGGGAGA
rnacentral:lncRNA from 1 species